AGAGUUUGAUCCUGGCUCAGAUUGAACGCUGGCGGCAUGCCUUACACAUGCAAGUCGAACGGCAGCGCGGGAGCAAUCCUGGCGGCGAGUGGCGAACGGGUGAGUAAUACAUCGGAACGUGCCCAAUCGUGGGGGAUAACGCAGCGAAAGCUGUGCUAAUACCGCAUACGAUCUACGGAUGAAAGCAGGGGAUCGCAAGACCUUGCGCGAAUGGAGCGGCCGAUGGCAGAUUAGGUAGUUGGUGAGGUAAAGGCUCACCAAGCCUUCGAUCUGUAGCUGGUCUGAGAGGACGACCAGCCACACUGGGACUGAGACACGGCCCAGACUCCUACGGGAGGCAGCAGUGGGGAAUUUUGGACAAUGGGCGAAAGCCUGAUCCAGCCAUGCCGCGUGCAGGAUGAAGGCCUUCGGGUUGUAAACUGCUUUUGUACGGAACGAAACGGCCUUUUCUAAUAAAGAGGGCUAAUGACGGUACCGUAAGAAUAAGCACCGGCUAACUACGUGCCAGCAGCCGCGGUAAUACGUAGGGUGCAAGCGUUAAUCGGAAUUACUGGGCGUAAAGCGUGCGCAGGCGGUUAUGUAAGACAGUUGCGAAAUCCCCGGGCUCAACCUGGGAACUGCAUCUGUGACUGCAUAGCUAGAGUACGGUAGAGGGGGAUGGAAUUCCGCGUGUAGCAGUGAAAUGCGUAGAUAUGCGGAGGAACACCGAUGGCGAAGGCAAUCCCCUGGACCUGUACUGACGCUCAUGCACGAAAGCGUGGGGAGCAAACAGGAUUAGAUACCCUGGUAGUCCACGCCCUAAACGAUGUCAACUGGUUGUUGGGUCUUCACUGACUCAGUAACGAAGCUAACGCGUGAAGUUGACCGCCUGGGGAGUACGGCCGCAAGGUUGAAACUCAAAAAUUGACGGGGACCCGCACAAGCGGUGGAUGAUGUGGUUUAAUUCGAUGCAACGCGAAAAACCUUACCCACCUUUGACAUGUACGGAAUUCGCCAGAGAUGGCUAGUGCUCGAAAGAGAACCGUAACACAGGUGCUGCAUGGCUGUCGUCAGCUCGUGUCGUGAGAUGUUGGGUUAAGUCCCGCAACGAGCGCAACCCUUGUCAUUAGUUGCUACAUUCAGUUGGGCACUCUAAUGAGACUGCCGGUGACAAACCGGAGGAAGGUGGGGAUGACGUCAAGUCCUCAUGGCCCUUAUAGGUGGGGCUACACACGUCAUACAAUGGCUGGUACAAAGGGUUGCCAACCCGCGAGGGGGAGCUAAUCCCAUAAAACCAGUCGUAGUCCGGAUCGCAGUCUGCAACUCGACUGCGUGAAGUCGGAAUCGCUAGUAAUCGUGGAUCAGAAUGUCACGGUGAAUACGUUCCCGGGUCUUGUACACACCGCCCGUCACACCAUGGGAGCGGGUUCUGCCAGAAGUAGUUAGCUUAACCGCAAGGAGGGCGAUUACCACGGCAGGGUUCGUGACUGGGGUGAAGUCGAAACAAGGUAGCCGUAUCGGAAGGUGCGGCUG
rnacentral:rRNA from 1 species